rnacentral:rRNA from 1 species
AUGUUUGAUUGCAACGGCGAAUCCCAGCAGCAGGUAGGGGAUGGAAUCUGGGCUGAACUCAGGGAGAAUGAAGACCAUAUAACACCUUGUCCCAAGGAUACGAAGGAUAGUAGAUCAAUCUGUGUUCGAGACCAGAAGAAGAAUGAUGAUGAAGCAGCUAGUGUUGUGGGCCUUACUGAAUGUACUUCAUGGGGUCAAACUGAACAUCCUGGUUUGGAAAAGCAGGCUGCCACUGAGGCUAGUGGACAUUAUUCAGCUACACAACUUGACAUAGAAUCCUGGCCUGACCUGCCUCUCCUGAGCACUACAUUUGAUAGAAACUACAAUGACGAUAAUAUAGCAUCAACAUAUUUGGAUUUCAAUUCUGCAUCUAGUACAAAAAGUUACCAGAAGCGUGUCAGCCCAUAUACAGUGCAGCUGGAUGGUGAACCUGAAAUGUUUGGCAAUGAGCAUGAAGAAAAGAGCAACAACUUUCUCGACUGUGACUGGGGCAAUAUUGGAGAUUUUGAUGAUUUUGACUACUUGUUUAGCAACACUGAAGCCUUAUUUGGAAAUGAGAUGAUUGUUAAUGGCAGUGAUUUCCUUGUUACGAGUUCAGAUGUGGUUGACGGUACUGUACAAUCAAUCCCCUUUCCGGGAGAUGUAGAGAAGAGACCAAUGAAAUCACAAAGAAAACCAGAUGAAGGAAGCAAAAGUAAAACAUCCAACAAUACAAGUGGUUUCUCCCAGAACCAAGGACACCAGCAACCAGACAGUUUGCAUUCAUUAUCCGAACCUCCUGUCCAGCAUUUUCAGACUCGUCAAUAUGCACUGCUCCACGAUAGCAAGAAUAUGGAGCAAUUUCAAGAUGCUAUUCAGCUUGCAUUCCCUGGCUAUGGAUGUCCUGCAUAUCCGUGUCCUACCAUUCCGGCGGUGUCAAAUAUUCAGGCUGAAGGCCAUCAGACAAACCCAAAGGCUGCAUGUUACCAAACUUCAGUAGAUCCUCUGAAGCAAUCAAGUUCCACAGAAAAGCCACAAGAUAUGCCAUCAAGGGCACUGAUGAUGACACCCCAGGAAAAGAUUGAAAAGCUUAGGCGCCGGCAACAACAACAAGCCCUGAGAGCUAUUCAACAACAGCAGCAGCAAUUUCGUCAAGAGGGUUCGGGCAGGGACACUUUGGUACCUCGAGCAUACUCCCGAAAGAAGAACUCAGAUUCAUUAGGGAGUUCAGGUAUCAUAGACGAAAAUGCACCAGAGCAGACUUCAGCUUGUCGUAAAGAGAUUCAUAAGAAUUCUGGAAUUCCUAAUGAUCCCUUUAUAGAGGAAAAAAUAUAUUAUGAGCUUAAAGAUGCCCUUGGGAAGCUGGAUGCUAGAACUCGACUCUGCAUUCGAGACAGUCUGCUUCGAUUGGCUCAGAGUUCCUCGCAGAGACAAAUUGCUGGUGACAGAACUAGCAGUAACAAGACUAAAAGAGAUGAAGAUGAAGUUUCAGAAAAUGACUCAUCCAACAGGAGAAAAAGAUCUCUGGUGAAGGAAGCAGAAACAGACACCAAUCCAAUUGAUCGAAUUGUAGCCCAUUUGCUGUUUCAUAGACCAUGUUCGACGGUUGCAACACUUGCAAAGGAAGAAAUUGCAUCCUUGACUCUGAUGUCACUUGAAGCUGAUUCCAAGAUGCCUGGGGCCACGCCUGGGCGGCCAUCAGGAGAUCAACAGACUGCGCAGGAAAUGGCAAUUCAGCCUUCAGUGUAA